AGGUCACUUUGAAUUAUCUUUUUAAGUUAGUGCCCAAAAAAUAUAUUCUCAGUAGUCUGUCUAGAAAAUAAAUUAUGAGAGGAUGAUGAACAUAAUCAAUGUUUUUGGGAGGUUACUUGUUUGGUUUUGGGGCAUUUUAAGGGUUUUGUUUUGUUUUGUUCUGUUUUUAUUAAAACCUGUUUCUCUGUCCAAAUAAUACUUUCUGGAGGAUAUGUCUGUGGUUCAGGAAUUGUGGUAUGAUCAUUGUGUUAUCUGACAUUUUGUAAUGAGAAACUGUAUCCAUUGCCUACUACACUUUUAAGAGAAGAAAAUCUUUGCCAUGAAAAUCUUCCCAUGGUGGAUGCACAUCAAGUCACACCAAGUUCACUCUCAGGAUGGAGAAGGGGUUGCAAGUUCCCUUACUUCCCUCUAAAAUGUCUCUGAAAUGAAGAAUGACAAAAGAAAAACCACCCAAGACUAAAAAGGAAUUUUUCUGGGGUCUAAACAUGAGCAAAAACCUUGGACAAUCAUUUCACACUUGCAGACCUGAGUUCAAAAUCCACUACCAGUGUUCCCAGGAGUCGACUGUGCAACACUGAUGGGACUAAUGGGGUUGUUGAAUUUCACUGCAAGGAUGAUUUCCUCUGGUUGAAAGAAUUUGGAAAACUGCUGCCAUUCAGCAGGCUGAGAGAUGCAGCCUAAAGCUGUGUAUUGAAAAUGCCACCCAGAUGUAACCCCAGUUAGUGAUUAAGAGGUAUGAAAAUGUAGGGGAAAAAAUCCAUAAUUUGGAAAAUUGUGAAGAUCUACUGGAUUUGGUUGGGAUGAAGUUUGGCUUUGUGCUGAGCACAGUGAUGAUAACACAGAGAUGUUUUAGUUACUGCUGAGCAGAGCUUACACAGAGCCAAAGCCUUUUCUGCUUCUCACACUGCCACACUGGCAGGGAAGCUGGGGGUGCUUGGGAGAGUGGGAGGAGACACAGCCAGGAAAGGUGACCCCAGCUGACCAAAUGCCUCCUCAUGACAUCACCUUCAAGAUACAAAGUGGAGGGAAGAAGAGGGAAGGGGGCAUGUUGGGCAUGAUGACAUUUGUCUUCCCAAGUGACACUUAGGUGUGGUGGGCACUGCUCUCCUGGAGAUGGCUGAACUCCUGCCUGCCCAUGGGAAGUGGUGAAUGAACUCCUUGGUUUGUUUUGCUUGCAUGUGUGGCUUCUGCUUUCCCUAUCAAACUCUCUUUGUCUCAACCCUCGAGUUUUCCAGCUUUCACCCUUCCAAUUCUCAGCCGAAUUCUGCUGGUGGGGGCGGGGGUGAAUGAGUGGCUGCAAGGGGCUUAGCUGCUGGCUGGGGUUAAACCAUGACAGGUAAAAAUGUCAGUGGUCCAUUUUUUGAGGCCUGUUGUGAUGUGGGUGAUGUGGUCUGUCAGUUCUUUAUCUUUUUUUUUUUUUUUUUUUUUUUUGGGUCAUUCUGGGAGCAAGCUAUUUAUUAUACAAAGUAAUCUGCAGACUAAACCUUCCCAGAUCCUUGCAUUGCUAAUUCCAGUAAGUUGCACCCUCACUGUAAGCAAUAUGAAUGAUGUAUAAAACUUACCAUCAUGUGGCUGAUACUUUUACAGAGUCCCUGCAGAUACAAAUCAAAGUGAUGAGUGGACUGCUGAUAACGAAGAACACAACUGUGUCUUUGCAGGAAGUUCAGUUAGAUAAAUCAAUGCAAAAAUAAUAAACUUGUUAAAUGUUCCUUAAA